UGAUGUAUAAUGUUCUUUUGACAUAAGAAAGAAAAUAGGAAGCGAAGAAUUUAUACGAGAAUCCUGCAAAGAACAUUCGACUCUGCCGUUUGCGGUUCAAACGUGAAGCUUAAAUUCCCUAUUAAGCGCGAUGUCUGAAACAGGUCGAAGAAGGAAGCUAGUCAACUCGGCCCACUGACCAACUCGGCCCAUACCAUCUUAAUUGGCCCAAUUGUUAACUACUGUUUGACAUAUUAGGAAAGUUAAUAUUUUACAAAAAAUAGCACCAAACCAAUACAGCCAUUUGUAGUUGCAUUGGGCGUACAGAUGAGUAAAGUUUGAGAACAUCCAGUUUGACUUAAAUUAAAGUAUCUAUCGAAGUUUCAAAUUCUCGAUCUGUCCUUUUUGAUACUAAACUACUGUCAUUCAAAUCUCUCUCAAAAUUUGCAAAGCUAGAACACAGUUAUGGUUCCUAGCUUGUUUAAUGGUUAGAUUAGUCAGUUUACAAACGAGCGGAGUUGGUCCUUGAACGGUUGGCCGAGUUGGUUAGUGGGCCGAGUUGACUGUAAAGCCCGAAGAAUAACCUGCGUAGUCUUUUAGCGGCGAGAAAUAAGAGGAG